GAUGAACGCUGGCGGCGUGCCUAAUACAUGCAAGUCGAGCGAAUGGAUUGAGAGCUUGCUCUUAUGAAGUUAGCGGCGGACGGGUGAGUAACACGUGGGUAACCUGCCCAUGAGACUGGGAUAACUCCGGGAAACCGGGGCUAAUACCGGAUAACAUUUUGAACCGCAUGGUUCGAAAUUGAAAGGCGGCUUCGGCUGUCACUUAUGGAUGGACCCGCGUCGCAUUAGCUAGUUGGUGAGGUAACGGCUCACCAAGGCAACGAUGCGUAGCCGACCUGAGAGGGUGAUAGGCCACACUGGGACUGAGACACGGCCCAGACUCCUACGGGAGGCAGCAGUAGGGAAGCUUCCGCAAUGGACGAAAGUCUGACGGAGCAACGCCGCGUGAGUGAUGAAGGCUUUCGGGUCGUAAAACUCUGUUGUUAGGGAAGAACAAGUGCUAGUUGAAUAAGCUGGCACCUUGACGGUACCUAACCAGAAAGCCACGGCUAACUACGUGCCAGCCGCCGCAGUAA
rnacentral:rRNA from 1 species